AUAUGGUUUGAAAACGAGGACGUCAAAAGGAUCAAUUUACAUUGUUAAAAUGCUGCCAUUUCUUGAACAUUUACAGUUAUGAGUGGCAUCGUCCAAUCGUGCCCAACAAACCUUACAGAAGUCCUCGCGGCAUCAGUGAGACUAAACUGUAAUAAAGAUGGGUUUGGGAAUGACCAGUAUUCAUGUCUUCCUAACUCCAAGAAGACUGGACUUGUGGAAUUCUGUCAUGAAGGAGGCAUUCCGUUGGUAGUAGACGGUGAGAUAUUAGAUAUUACCUUUAAAACUGUUGUCAAUUUUAUGUACCUCCCGCAUCAUCCCUAUCCGUUUUCGAACGGGUUCAAUUUUUUCCUUAGUACUCGGAACCCUUAUGUCUUCCACAUCACUUGUCCAGCGUUCCCUCCUUCAUUUUUCUUAUGCAUUUCAUUUAUCUUUGUUGUUUGCUUUUCUUCAUCUUCUGAGUCAUGUUUUCUUUAAAAUCAAUACCAAUGUAUGAGAUAACAUAAACACCACUCCACAAACAGCGAUUGGUGAAAAUUUAACCACUGUGGGUCAGUCACAACUUGUAUAAUAAUAUAAAACAUUUAGAAAAAUGAGAUAUAUCACAGAUGGAUGCGCAAAAAGUCACCCAAGACACAACAGAUUAAAAUAUAGAUAAUAUGAUACACAUGUCACAUGAAGACAACUGUUUUAAAAGAUUGCUAAGUAACUCUAAUCCAAUAAAAUGCAUAUAUAUUCAAGAUUUUCUACAAACUCUAUACUCGUCAUAAUGAUAUAAUUACCCAUUACAACCUGCUAUUGGUUCAUAUGCAGUCUGAUGUAGUGCAUGUUCAUUGUUAGACAGUUCUUUACAUACUGAUUGUAACUACCUGAUCAAGAUAUAGGGCUCACGACGGGUCUGACCGGUCGACAAGGAGUGUUUAAUCCUUCUAGACACCUGAUCCGAAAUAUGUUAUGUUAAGGAUCCGUGUCUUUCAAUUUGUAUUAUUUAUUAUUGAUGAGAUUGAUCACUGUUCGUUAUCUUUAUUUUUUGUAAAGGUUAUUGUUUGGAGACAGAAUGGGGCCAGUUGUACUACAGCAAAUGUCAACACUUCAUCAAUGGUUGUCCGAGUAAGCCGUACCUUGCCAAUGAGAUAUACAAACGUAAGAAAUUGUUUCUUAUUAUACACUUAAGGUAAACCCCCAUACCACGUCAAAUAACGUUAGAAACGGUACUCACGAGUCACGAACGUUAUCACACAUUCAACGAACCUGGUGGCAUUUUGGUCAAUUUUGUAGACCGUAUUAGGACUGAUUGUUUGAAAGCAAAAAAAAAAAUAGAAUUAAAAAAACAGCAACAAACGAA